AGUGGUCACCUUUUAUUUUAACAACGUGGAGAUUUAAGGAGAUACUCCAGAUUGAAACCAGUUACUCAUAAAGCAAGACUGAAGAAUGAAAAGAUACUGGUUAUGCUCAAGGUUCUGGAAGGGAACCACUAUAUCCCUUGUUAGAGAGCUAGAGAAUGAAGCCAACAAAAAGCACAGCAAAGCUGAGAGACAAAGACAGACCAGAUCUUGAAGGUAGCAUUUAGGAUCCAUGAAUCCAGCUGUGCCUGAAGGAAACCAGAUCUCUCCCUAGACUUGCCAGAAAAGCAACAAAGAAGAAAUCGUUAUUAUUUGGCCAAAGAACAGUAAUGGAAACCUCAAGAAGUCCUUGGGUUAAAAUAAGAAGUACAAACAGCAAAUAAGUAUUUGAAAAAAUGUUCAACAUCACUGGUCAUCCAAGAGAUGCAAAUUAAAACAAUGCUGAGAUUCCAUCUCAUUUCAGAAAGAAUGGCUGCUAUCAAGAAAUCAACCAAGAACAAAUGCUGGCAGGAUGUGGGGAAA